GACGAACGCUGGCGGCGUGCCUAAUACAUGCAAGUAGAACGCUGAAGAGAGGAGCUUGCUCUUCUUGGAUGAGUUGCGAACGGGUGAGUAACGCGUAGGUAACCUGCCUUGUAGCGGGGGAUAACUAUUGGAAACGAUAGCUAAUACCGCAUAACAAUGGAUGACCCAUGUCAUUUAUUUGAAAGGGGCAAAUGCUCCACUACAAGAUGGACCUGCGUUGUAUUAGCUAGUAGGUGAGGUAACGGCUCACCUAGGCGACGAUACAUAGCCGACCUGAGAGGGUGAUCGGCCACACUGGGACUGAGACACGGCCCAGAAUCCUACGGGAGGCAGCAGUAGGGGAUCUUCGGCAAUGGGGGCAACCCUGAACGAGCAAAGCCGGGUGAGUGAAGAAGGGUUUCGGAUCGGAAAGCUCGGUUGUAAGUCAAGAACGAGUGUGAGAGUGGAAAGUUCACACUGUGACGGUAGCUUAACAGAAAGGGACGGCUAACUACGUG
rnacentral:rRNA from 1 species